GAUGAACGCUGGCGGCGUGCCUAAUACAUGCAAGUCGAGCGAACGGACGAGAAGCUUGCUUCUCUGAUGUUAGCGGCGGACGGGUGAGUAACACGUGGAUAACCUACCUAUAAGACUGGGAUAACUUCGGGAAACCGGAGCUAAUACCGGAUAAUAUUUUGAACCGCAUGGUUCAAAAGUGAAAGACGGUCUUGCUGUCACUUAUAGAUGGAUCCGCGCUGCAUUAGCUAGUUGGUAAGGUACGGCUUACCAAGGCAACGAUGCAUAGCCGACCUGAGAGGGUGAUCGGCCACACUGGAACUGAGACACGGUCCAGACUCCUACGGGAGGCAGCAGUAGGGAAUCUUCCGCAAUGGGCGAAAGCCUGACGGGGCAACGCCGCGUGAGUGAUGAAGGUCUUCGGAUCGUAAAACUCUGUUAUUAGGGAAGAACAUAUGUGUAAGUAACUGUGCACAUCUUGACGGUACCUAAUCAGAAAGCCACGGCUAACUACGUG
rnacentral:rRNA from 1 species